UAUGGCUAAAUCACGUUGAAAACACUGAUUCUUAUUCAAUCACUGAAGUUAAGCACAGUUGAGCCAAAUCAAUACUUGGAUGGGGGACCACUUGAGAAUACCGGGUACUGCAA